GCCUGCCCGCGGCUUGUCCCCGCGCAGGGACACCAUGGUGCUGAGCGCGGAGCAGGUGAGCCUCAUCGGGCAGGUGUUCGAGUCCUACGUGCUGGAGCACCACAGGGACGAAAUCCUGGGCAUCCUGAGGGAGGCGGACGACCAGGCGCACUACCCCGUCGUCGUCGACGCCUUGACGCUCUUUGAAACCAACAUGGAGAUCGGGGAGUACUUCAACGCCUUCCCCAGCGAGGUGCUGCCGGUUUUCGACAGCGCGCUGCGCCGGGCUGCGCUGGCAGCGCUGCAGGACAGCGCGGACCCGGCACAGCUCAGCCUCAAGCAGAACCUCCACGCCAGGGUCUCGGGUUUGCCUGUUUGCCCAGAGCUGACUCGAGAGCACAUUCCUAAAUCCAAGGAUGUGGGACACUUUUUGUCUGUUACUGGGACUGUCAUACGUACCAGUUCGGUGAAGGUUUUGGAGUUUGAGCGGAGUUACAUCUGCAACAAGUGCAAGCACGUGUUUGUUGUCAAGGCUGACUUUGAGCAGUGCUACGCAUUCUGUCGUCCAGCAGCCUGUCUCAAUGAAGAGGGCUGCAACUCAACCAAGUUCAUGUGUCUCUCUGGAACAACCUCUUCUCCUACCUGCUGCAGGGACUAUCAAGAAAUUAAAAUUCAGGAACAGGUUCAGAGGCUGUCUGUUGGAAGCAUCCCUCGUUGCAUGGUGGUUGUUCUGGAAGAUGAUUUGGUGGACAGUUGCAAGUCUGGAGAUGACAUCACAGUGUAUGGAGUGGUAAUGCAGAGGUGGAAACCUUUCCAUGAGGGUGCACGCUGUGACUUGGAGCUUGUUUUAAAAGCCAACUAUGUUAAAAUCAACAAUGAGCAGCUAGCAGGGGUUGUAAUUGAUGAAGAAGUUCGCAAGGAAUUUGAAGACUUCUGGGAAAGGCAUAGGAAUGAUCCCUUAGCAGGGAGGAAUGAAAUUUUGGCUAGCUUAUGUCCUCAAGUUUUUGGAUUGUACCUGGUGAAGCUAGCUGUAGCCAUGGUGCUUGCUGGUGGUGUGCAGAGAACUGAUGCUGCUGGAACUCGAACCAGAGGUGAAUCACAUCUUCUGUUGGUUGGAGAUCCAGGUACAGGGAAAUCUCAGUUCCUCAAGUAUGCAGUUAAGAUUAUGCCACGCUCUGUGCUUACAGCAGGAAUUGGAUCUACAAGUGCAGGUAUGUGCUUCUUCAGCUGUAAGGUUAUCUCUUCACCUGAGUAUGUUUAUAUUGAAGCCUUCUGCAUAUGUGAACAUACGUGCUCAAGUUGUUAUGAGCACAGUUGAAGUAGAGACCUGCUGUGGAGGCAUAUCACAAGCCUCAUCCAGAGGCACCUCUCAGUGCUUUGCUAGUGGAGAGUGAUCUGGACCUGUAUUUUUAGCAUUUUCCAGCUAUGGAAAAUAUGACAUCUUUCCAGAGCUCACGCUGUGUGAUGAGCUAGCAUCAUUUGGUUUCUCCUGAACAGAUAAUCUUCUCUUCUGUUCUGUGUUCUGUCUGGGUGCCAGUUUGAUUUCUGUUUGCUUUCUGGAAAUUCACUCCUGUGUUGAGGAAUUAUUUCUUACACAUGAAGAUGGUUUUAAGAUGGUUUCAGAGAGCAAGUGGGUUUUUUCUUCUUUUUUUCUUUUUUUCUCUUUCUUCCUUUUGUUAAAUUUAGGUAUGUCUCAGCUGGCUCUGCUCUCAGGCAUCUUUGCAAACUCUUCUGGGGACAAUGUACAGGGUCAGAUUACCUCUUCCAGUAACUUUAUUUAUUUAACAAACGAAUAUGCUACAUGUAUGUUCAAAAUGACAAAAUAAUUAAGGUCAAAUCCCAGUGUUUCAGCUAGCAUGUGUAACUUGAAUAUUUCUUAGAGAGUGUUGCUUAUCAUUUUAUGUCUGGGAAAUAGCAUUAUUUGUACAUGGGAGAACCAAAGGAUAAAUCUUCCCCAAUUCCACAGCUAUGUAUAUACUGAAUCUUCCAUAUUCGUGGAAGUGGAACAUACACUCCUGUGUGCAGGGAACUUGUUAUGAAAAACAUAUGCACCUGGCUUUCCAUUCAAACUGUUAACAAAUAGGUCUGAAGAGAAGACAGAGAGAAAAUUCUGUUUAAUACAAUCUUUUCUCCACUUUUUGUUCUGUGAACAAAAAUUGAGAAGUCUGAUAAUUUCAGAUUUCCUAGGGCACUUGCAGUGACCUGGAGUGAAAUUUUGCCAUGUAUUUCAGUGUGACUUUGCCCAUUUUUGUAAAUAGUGAUUUUCUGUGUCAGUUGCUCUCAGUCUCUGAUGUUGCUGUUGCCUUCUUCACCAUGCCUCCCUCCCAUGCUUCACCUUCCAUAUGAUCUGAUUUCCAGUUCAGCCAUGAUGGCUAGGUUCAAAGACAUUUCCCUGAAAACAAAUAUUGCAGUUUAUAGGUUUACUGUGGUGUAUGUGCACUAAUGAUGUGUGGAGAUGAACUUUCAUCUCAUGAAAGGUUUGUCUUGCACCUUUAGAUCAUCUAUAUUUCACUUAAAUAUUCCUUAUUUGUUAAAAAAACCUUCUCUCUCAGUCCCUUUUUCUAAAAUCUGACAGCAGCACCAAAUUUCUCCUUUAGAGUUGUUCAGGACUGUUAUGUCCUGAAGAAACCUGAGUGCCUAGCAAGGAAACUUAUUAACCCUAGUUUAAUUUCAGGGAACCUUUCCAUGGCUAGAACUGCUGGACUAAGGUAUUAAUUUCUAGACCAGGAGUUUGGAUGCUGUUUGAAUUACUAUUUUCUUUGCCUUUCCCAUGCAACGAGUGUCAUAUGAAUCUCUUGUAGCUAGCUUUACCUAACACUGAUUUUUGUCAACUUCCUUUCUGGGCAGAAGCUUCAAAUUAGUUUGGAGAACUAUAAAACUACUUUACUUUGCUUAUCUAAUUUAACACUUUGAAUUACCAGUUUCUGCUUUCCCGUGAGAGGACAGUCCUAAGGCACAUUCUUUCUUCCAGUGCAUGAAUAUUAAAUCUCUAAGUUCACUUUUAGCUAGUUCCUUACUGUUUAUAAAAAGCAGUCUGAAUUGCAUUUAAUUGCUGGCUCUAAGCCAAAAGACACACCUGAGAUUGAGUAAACCCUGAAUAAGGUAUCUAACUAGCUUUAGUAAGACUCUGUGUGCACUGACAUACCUUGUUCCCUUUACCCAUCUGGUACUGUUUUAGUACACCAGCUCUUUUAUAAGCAUUGAAUUAGAAUUCUGCAUCCCAAACUGUGUCAUACCAGUUUUACUUGGUUUUCUGUACAAGCAUUUAUUUGUACCAGGACAGCGUAUUAGUUUAAUCAAAUUCUCCUUGUGCCAAAAUUCUUUCUUUCCUGGUCUACCUUAGGUAUCACAUACUCUGAGAUCCACUGUGAUACUUUGUGCCCCUGCAGUAUCAUGUGCCCCAUCAACCCAUACAGACGUGACUGGAAUUGGCUCGUAGAAUUUCAGAAAACAGUGACCUAACUCCUGCAGCUUUAUUUGCUGUUGGUUGGUCCUUUCAAUCAGGUUCCUGCCUUCCCCUGCACUUUCUAAACAAGUCUGUGCUGUUUACCUGAUUCAGAAGGUACAGCCCAGGAUAAAACUCUGCUUUCUUGCUGAAGGUUUGGAAGACCUUCAUCUUUCCAUCUCACCCACCCGCUCAAGUUGCAUGCUUGCUGCAAACAACCCUUACAAAUGACAAGUAAUUUGUUCUCUGCUUUGAAAAAAAACAACUUUACCUCCACUCAGUGAAUAAGUUUCUGAGCUUACUUUUUUAUUAAGUUGCCUUUCUUGCAAACACUUAGCGGAAAUUUUCUGUUGCAAAUUCUCUACAAGUUUAGAACUUAUAUGAGGAACCAGGGUUUGUUCCUCCCACAUCUCUUUUAACGACAGUUGGCAGGCAGACCAGCCCACACACAACAACUCAAUGGCAAAAAAUUUCUUUGACCACUGUAGGACUUCGUGAUCUGCAAAUGAAAGAUGGGGGAACCAUCUGUCCCGCUGUUUUGCUUUGUGUACACUGUUUUUUUUACAGGCCCAGUUCAUUCUCCCUGACUUGUCUCUCUGAGAAUCACAGGGAGUCAUUCAGCUACCUUUUAUUUUUAGAAAUUGAUACACAGUUUUCCAUAAAGAUGGAGACUUAGGAAGGCUUAACAAGAUCUCUCUGGGGAUUCUCACCUUACUACUGAGUUAAAGAAACUGUUUUGCAGUCCCCAGAGGCACAGUGCUGCUUAUGUAUAUUUGGAUGAGAUAAUCACUAGUAAGAAAAUAUUUCAUUUACCUCUGGAGCUUGAGAUUUGCAGUGAUCUGGUGGUGUGCAACAGGAACCAAUGCAUGCCAGCUGCUGGCAAGUCUGGGGCUCAUGGACAUCCAGGCCAGAGUCAUUCUGCUGCUUGCUAGUGCAUAUUUGACUGUUCACAUUUCUGAAAAUUUUGUUUGGUGUUGCAUCCCUCCACAGAUGGAUUGCUUAAAGAAUUUUGUGAACUGUAUUUAGAACAGCUUGCCUAAAAAUCUGGGAGAGUAUCAGCUGUUUCUCCAGCUCUCCAGUUCUGUAUAAUAUGCCUUUCUGAGCUGUGUGACAUGCACCCUUUCUGGCCUCUCCUCUUAGAGCCUCUGCAGAACCUUACAAGUACUGCCUUUUUGCUGCUAUUUUCCAUAUAUAACACUGUCCAUAUCAUGCCAACAGCAGUUUGCUACUGAUUUCCUUUAUUUUCGUUAAAGGGAACCAACUCAAGGGGAAUUCACCUCUUUUCUUUCAUACUAAGCUUUCCCCUGGUAGGCAGGCUUCAGGUGCUAACAGCUGUCUCUUUUCUGAUCCAUUAGAAACCAAUCCAAAGUCACUGACAUGAGCCAUCCAGCUGUGGUUAUAAAUAGAGUACAUGGUGUCAGUAUCCUGAGGUAUGCAAGAUUCUGAAACUGGAGAUACUUUUCCCUCUGUGUAGAUCUCCAAACUGUCCCUGUGCCUUCCCUAGUUCAUAUAAGCCAAAGUAGUGCCAGGAAACCAUUUUCCACCAUGGAUUCAUACCCUGUUCCUCAUAAAGUUAUUAAUAAAGAUGCAGCCUUUAGGCUACUGUUCCCUGAUCAUCACUUCUACCAUGGGAUUGUUUUCCUGAAUAUUUAAAAUUGUACGUGAACUUGAAGUAUUUUCUAUCAGUAUGUAACCUGAAAAUAUUUUCUUGAGAUCACGGCUUCACUGGCUGUUCCUUAAACAGCUGGGCCUCAAGCUGGAAAGGCCUUAGCUCUAUAGGAAGUCUACUAAACUUGUCAAAGGAAUGAAAUUUGAAGCUGUAAUAAAAUAUUGUCAGACAUACCCUAUCUGUAACAAUGUCCUAUCUCUUCUUUAGUUCCCUUAAUUUCUUCUGAAUAAUGCUUUUCCAAAAUGGCUUUGUCCUGAGAGAGCUUACCUUGACUACCUGCAUGACAGCGAUUAUUUAGCCAAAGAGAUGCCUGUCUUCAAAAAAUUUGGUUCUUUCAAACAUCUUCAUAUCUGAAGGCCCAUAGUUAGGUUGGAUAGGAAUUACUGCAGGAGCAAUAUUCUGUCAUAUUGGUUGAAGGUUUCAGGUCUUAUACACUUCUAACACCUCCAGGCCAACCUUCAUCAGACUUUUUCAUCCUGCUGUUGAAAUGGCAGGCAUUUCAAGCAGUGAUUUUUGCAUGGGUAACAUAUGUCUUCAGCAUUUCCUUUACCAUACUGUGAAGCCCCUCCUUCUUUCCAGUUUUAUAAUGUAGGUCUGCCCCACUCUCCUAGUAAGAUAGGAUGAAUUGGAGGAUACCCUUAUUUUGAAAGGCUGGCCUCCUUAUUUCAUGGGGCAAGGGAGUUUUGGAAGGAGACCAAAAAACUCCAUAAAAGUUUCUGCCAGUUCAGUUCAGCCAGUUCUUAACACUGCUGGGAACAUGUAGCUGUUUUCUCUUGCAUCUGGUGUAGCACAGACACAUCCUUCCUCUGACCUUCUCUUGUGUCUGCAGUCAUGGUCAGUGAGUACCCAGCCAUGUCUCCAAAACUGCAUUACCUAAAGCUGGAAUUGUUUUAAGUGUAUCCUCCCUCCAUCUUCUCCUGAAAUGGCCCUCUAAGUUCCAUGUAGAAGCCUCAGGUUUGCCUUUAAGAAAGCCUUCCUAGUGCCUCUAGCUGGGUCUUCCUUUUAUCAUUUUUGCCUAGACCAAAAAUCAAGGAAAAAGCCCUCCAUCCAUCUUCUCCAGCCCUGCUCUGAUAUCACACACUACAAGACCAGCUUUUAAGAAGCAGAACUAUAACUGGAAACAGAAACAGGAGGGCCUGAGGAACUGCCAGCCUUUACACACAGUUGUCAGUUCUGCUGCAUCUUCCUGGCUGGAAUUUAGCAGAGCCCCCUAUCCAGGGGGUAACAGCAACAAUUAACCCAUUAUCGCCUGAGCAAACUUCUGUGGCUCUCAAAAUAAAUUACAUAAUCUGUACUCUUGCAGACCACUGUGCUAUGGAUAAGGAGUAGGGUAAUUAGGUGAAGGAUCUGCAGCUGUCCAGACAGAAGCCAGAUGUUAACUUUGCCCUUUUUUUAUCUCUGAUAAAAUGAGGGUUUGCUAGGAGUAUACAUGUAGAGCAUGUUUGGGGCUUUUCCUUUUUUCUUCCCACUAGCAUUUUCAGGUGUCAGUGGACAAUCAGUCUAGCUGCAAGUGGCUACCUUUCAGUCUGAACUGACUUCCAGGAAACCAGCAGCUGAGGCAGUCCAAAGAAAAUAAUGGACUGUCAGAUCACCAAAUUUCUUUGUGACUUUGUCCCUCCCAUCACAAGAACAGUGUCUGGUACACCAUAAACUAAGUUACUGUGGUUGGUGUAGUGAAGUUCCAAAUUGUUUCAUUGUUGAAGAUUGGUAGUGAGGGUUGGCUUUUUCAGUGGAGCUUUGUAAAGCCACUGGAAACAUUAAAUUUCACUAGUACCCAUUCUGAUGGAGCUAGAGCCAUUCCUUCAAAUUUAAGUGUUGCAGUAAUUCACAUUGAAGUUGAUGCCUGAAUAAAUCAGUGACUGUAAGCUGAGGGACAACUUUUUUCAAGCUAGACAUAAAAACCACACAUUUUUCAUCCAUGUUGCCUUGUCUGAUCCACUUACUUCUUUGUAAAUGAAUAACCUCUGAUAAGCAUUAUGACAGUGUUCUAAUGGUCUGCCUGUCUGAGAUGAAAACACAGUGAGAUACACCACCAGUCCCAUCAGCAGAAUCUGUAGGAUUCCUUUGCAUCUUGGUGGCCUCUGCAAGUGAAAGUUUGUGGUAAGGUGAAUACAUCCUCAACCUUGAAAUGGUAAUGCUGUGAUGUCAGCACUGGUUGGCUGUGUCACGUGCACAGACCUGCUGUUCUAAAACGUUCAGCGAUCAGGGACACGUCUUUACAGAUGCCCUACAUGCAGUCUAUCAUUUAAUACCACUAAGUCUGUGUUGUGAUAUUGCCUGAAGUCUCUGGGGGAUUGGAAAUUGAUUCCUCAAAUUCUAUGUCUCUGGAGGCUGAUUUUGUCAAGAAAUACUCAGAAGGCAGGGUGUAUGGACUGCUAAGACCUGAGGCACCCAGCCUUCUCAAAAGGCAUAGAAAUCCCAUUUAUCUUGCAGAGGUUAUGAGGUAGGGUUGUUCAUCUCCAAUUUUCACCAAGCACAGCAUUCCUUUUCCUGCUAGAGGUGGGUCACCUCUAUGCAGGCCACAUGAGUCUAUCAGGUAAAGUGGUGCCAAACUCUGCUGCAGCAUCCUGACACAGUCAAGCCUGACAUUUAUUGCACCCAUGUGUACUCAUGCACACAUGACUUUUUAGACUGACAAGAGAACUUCACUUUUCCAUUCCUCUGAAUUAACUGGUUUGCUGGGUGACAUCACUUUGUUGACUAAAUUUUGCAAUUGGAUAUGCAAUAGCAGCAAUAAUGGUUUGCUUCCAUCACGUUGUGGCAUAUACUUCUAAAAAGCCUUCAUGCUACCAGUGCAUGGAUUCUGGUUACAGCUUGUACUUGGAUCAUGCUUUCAUUUGAAUAUUCAACAGAGGCAAAAGUUUGAAACACUACUACAGUAACCUUAAUUCAAGGCAUACUUCACAAGCCUGUCAAUCCUUCAGCAGGUAACCAAAUUAUUUACAUGCUUACAUUUAGGAGGUAUCGUAGACUUAUAAAUAGAACAUAAAGUGCAUGAAAAAUCUCAAAAUGUCACUGAAGACCUAAAAGUUGCAAUAUAAUUGAAAAUCAAAGAUAAAGUUCACAGAAAUUCAGCCUUAAGUGAAGUGACUGCUAGUUCAGGGAACACUUAGUUCUUUGUGUUGUCAUACUGAUGACUAUUAAUAUUUUUAGAUUUCUGAUUAUCACUUUAAACAAGUAGAGAGAGAUUGUUAAGAGCACAUAUUAGAACUAGGCCUCCAAAUAUUAAUGGAUUUCAUUAAUUCAUUCAUCUACCCUAGAUAAGUACUGCUGAGCUUCCAUACAGGAAAAACAUUUGGAUCAGGUCAUUCCUUUCCAGUUUAAAAAACACAUAUUUGAAAUGCAGGCAAUUUCACUAACGAUAUGGAAAGACAGAAGCACUGCCUGGGACAUCUUCAUCGCCAUUAGAGAAUGCAGAAAGAAAACAGAAAGCAUUCUAUUUUUAUUCAGAGCUACGCUGUUAAUCAUCAUGAAAUGUACCUUUUUUUUGAAGGGCCCAGAACCUACAAGGGUUCAUAAUUUGGGCAGUGACUAGUAAACAGUAGAACUACAUUCCUGUAAUCUGGCAUGACAGAUUACAAUUUAAAUGCACAUACAGGCACAGUAAAUAUAAAUAUAGCUAAUGAGGACUGAAAGUAAUAACUAAAUUCUUAAGUGUUGUAAUACUGUCUUAAGUCUUUACAGGUUACUGCUUAGUUCCUUUUAUUUUCAAGGAUGCCUCCUCAGGUAAUAGGGAUGUCUCACUGCAAGAGCUUGAGGGCAAGUAAUGUAUUUUUGACUGUGUCAUGCCUGCCACAACAGGGUUUAUACCAGUGACUAGGAUUGCCUUAAAGGCUAGAAAGAAAACAGAAGUUUAAAAUUCCAGGUGUUUCAAAAAACUGAAAGAAAACAACCUAACUCCUUACUACUACUGAAAAAGAUGACAAUAAAGCAUGCCUGAAAGUAAACAUACUAACCAGUAGUGAUCCGUAAUCUUGCAGAAGAGUGUAUUUGGGAUAUUCACACUAUUGCUUUUGAGGUUUAGAAUCUUCUAGUACUUGCUUGCAUUCUUCCAACCACUUGUGUAUGGUAUUAGGGUGGCUGAAAAAGGGCUCUUUCCUGAGUUACCCACCCCAACAUACAUGAAACACUGUCCUGAACAAAACCAUAGUUUGACUAAACAGCAGCAGCAGCAGGAGAUUAAAAAAAAAAAAAGUAUCUAAAAUCCAAGAUAGCAGAUGGUAAAUCUCAAAUUGCAGGCUUUAAGUAACAAGUAUGUGCCUUGAAAGGAAAAGAAGCUUGCACCUAAAAUUAUACUGUGCUGUUUGCUUUCAGAGCAAAAGAACAUUUUUGGACUUUUUUGUUUGUUAUUAAGAGACACUUUUUUUCUUUACACUUCAUCUAAUGACAGUUUUGUUCUUAAGAUGCUAUUAAAGGGCACUUUAUAUUUGGCAAUCUGGAUAGCAGCGAUGAGGACAUGGCAUUAUUCCUUCAUUUUGCCUGAAUGUUUUAACUUCUGAACUGUUUUUAAGUUUUUAAUAGUGCUUACAAAGUAAGGGGGGAGGGGAGAGAAUACAUAUACUUUAAUCAGAUUUGGU